GCCGAAGUGGUGGAAUGGUAGACACGCAGGUCUCAAAAACCUGUGGGACCAAAAUCCCGUGACGGUUCGAGUCCGUCCUUCGGCA
rnacentral:tRNA from 2 species